rnacentral:rRNA from 1 species
AUUGAACGCUGGCGGCAGGCUUAACACAUGCAAGUCGAACGGGCACUUCGGUGCUAGUGGCAGACGGGAGAGUAACACGUGGGAACGUACCUUUCGGUUCGGAAUAAUUCAGGGAAACUUGGACUAAUACCGGAUACGCCCUUUUGGGGAAAGAUUUAUCGCCGAUAGAUCGGCCCGCGUUUGAUUAGCUAGUUGGUGAGGUAAAGGCUCACCAAGGCGACGAUCAGUAGCUGGUCUGAGAGGAUGAUCAGCCACAUUGGGACUGAGACACGGCCCAAACUCCUACGGGAGGCAGCAGUGGGGAAUAUUGGACAAUGGGCGCAAGCCUGAUCCAGCCAUGCCGCGUGAGUGAUGAAGGCCUUAGGGUUGUAAAGCUCUUUUGUCCGGGAAGAUAAUGACUGUACCGGAAGAAUAAGCCCUGGCUAACUUCGUGCCAGCCGCCGCCGUAAAAC